UACGUAGGGUGCAAGCGUUGCCCGGAUUUAUUGGGCGUAAAGGGCGUGUAGGCGGUUUGUUAAGUCAUGUGUGAAAUCCCUCGGCUCAACCGGGGAACGACGCAUGAAACUGGCAAGCUAGAGUACCAAAGAGGGGGGUGGAAUUCCCGGUGUAGAGGUGAAAUUCGUAGAUAUCGGGAGGAACACCAGUGGCGAAGGCGGCGAUCUGGGUGGAUACUGACGCUGAGGUGCGAAAGCGUGGGGAGCAAACAGG
rnacentral:rRNA from 1 species